rnacentral:rRNA from 1 species
CCUACGGGAGGCAGCAGUGAGGAAUAUUGGUCAAUGGACGAGAGUCUGAACCAGCCAAGUAGCGUGAAGGAUGACUGCCCUAUGGGUUGUAAACUUCUUUUAUAUGGGAAUAAAACGUUCCACGUGUGGGAUUUUGUAUGUACCAUAUGAAUAAGGAUCGGCUAACUCCGUGCCAGCAGCCGCGGUAAUACGGAGGAUCCGAGCGUUAUCCGGAUUUAUUGGGUUUAAAGGGAGCGUAGGUGGAUUGUUAAGUCAGUUGUGAAAGUGUGCGGCUAAACCGUAAAAUUGCAGUUGAAACUGGCAGUCUUGAGUACAGUAGAGGUGAGCGGAAUUCGUGGUGUAGCGGUGAAAUGCUUAGAUAUCACGAAGAACUCCGAUUGCGAAGGCAGUUCACUGGACUGCAACUGACACUGAGGCUCGAAAGUGUGGGUAUCAAACAGGAUUAGAUACCCCAGUAGUC